rnacentral:ncRNA from 2 species
GCGUUCUGCUGGCAAAACAUAGCUUCGGUUAUGUCAAUGGCUAUUGGAUUGGUCCAUGAAGCGAAAAAUAGUUUACUGUGUCACUCGUACCGAUAACCGCAUCAGGUCUUCUAGGUAAGUAGCCUAUGGCCAUUGAGGCAUGAUAGUUCAGGGAAUUCGGCCAAUUAGAGCUGUAACUUCGGGAUAAAGCUUGGCUCUGAUGAAAAUCAGAACCGAUUGUUACGCGGAGAGCCCAACUGUUUAAUAAAAACGUAGUGUCGCGCUGUGGUAGUAUAGCCAGUGAACGCGACAUGAAUCCUGCUCAGUGCUGUGUCUGUUAAUAUGGUUCAAGCCAACGAAGCACCGGUAAAUAGCUGGGGUAACUAUGACUCUUAUCAAAGUAGCGAAAUACCUCGUCACUUAAUUAGUGACCUGCAUGAACGGAGCUAUGAGGUUCUCACUGUCCCAAACUGUCUCUCAGCGAACCAACUGUAGUGGGAACGGUCACUAGAUAUCCAGCGGGGAAAGAAGACCCUGUAGAGCUUCACUUUGGUCUAGUCUUGUAUAGUUCCUGCGGGGGUGUAGACUAGGUGGGAGAGCAAUCGAUUCUGAAAAACCACUACCCUGUUUGGAAUUAUGCUUACCUAUCACAAGGAAUAGGACUAGAUAGAAAGUUUGGCUGGGGCGGCACACCUUCGAAAGAGCAGCGAAGGUGUCCUAAGUUGAGCUCAGUGAGGACAGAAAUCUCACGUUGAGGAUAAGGCCAAAAGCUCAAUUUACUGUGCCUUUUUGUACUAGGAUCAGUUACGAAAGUAAGGCCUAACGAUCCCUAAAUAGCCUCAGGUGCGUGAGGAUUGGGGUGACAGACAAGUUACCUCCGGGACAACUGGCUUGUGGCUGCUAAGAGAUCAAAUCAACGCAGCUUUUUGAUUCUUCGAUGUCGGCUCUUCCUAUCCUAGUGAUGUACAAGUUGCUAAGGGUCGGAUUGUUCACCCGUAUUAGGGAUCGUGAGCUGGGUUAGACCGUCGUGAGCCAGGUUUGUUUUAUCCUACUGGAUAUAGCAUCAUGAUAGUAGAUUGAUUUAGUACGAGAGGAACUGUUUGAUUAUGGCCUCUGGUUAGCGAUUAUCGGAAACGGUAU